GUUCUGAAGCUCCUUCGUUUCUUUCUCCCUUUCUCCCUCCGUUUCUUUCAUUCACAGAAACUCAGCCAAAAAACCCUAACACUGUAAGCCUACACCACCGCCGCCGCAAGGAGUGGCAUACUGCUGCCGCCCGUCCGUCUAUCUAGCUUCCCUCGUGCUCCAAGUCUUCAACCCCCGUUCGCUGUCACCGAUCGCAGCUGCUUCCUCGAGCUCGGCGUCCGUCGUCUUUGUCUGCUUAGCCGCGCUUCCGCUGCCGUUGGUUGCCGUUAACGUUCGCGUCUUCGUUCAGCCGUCAUCUUCGUUCGCGUUCUUCGCCGUUCAAGUUUGCUCGGCGUUCACCGUUCGCGUUCACUCGCCGUUCACCGUUCGCGUUCACGUUCGUCUGGAAGCCACGUUGCCCUGCUUCAAACUCUGCGACCAACCCGUGUGCUCCACCUAGCCGUCGAACUGCUCUCUUUUGUCGCCGCCACAGUAUGGAACCAGAGAAAGUAAAGAAGUUGCUGUAGAAGGGAGAGUUCAGUUUGAUCUGCUCCUCCAGGUCAGCUUCACCGGUUCGAUGGAGGUAGGCCGUGAAAUAAUGGAUGCUGCAGCUAGCAGCAACUUGAAACAAGUUUCACUUGAAUUAGUAGGAAAGUCACCUCUUCUAAUCUUUGAUGAUGCUGAUGUAGAUAAAGCUGCUAGCCUUGCUCUCUUGGGCAUAGUAUAUAACAAGGGUGAGAUAUGUGUUGAAAGUUCAGUGUGUUUUUUCAAGAAGGGAAUGUGCUGAAUAAUUAUAUUAAAAGAUGGAUUUAGGCAUUCUUUUCUUCCUCUUUCACACCCUGCAGGUUUUGACAGCUACUAAAAUUAGAUAUUGGAGGUUUUGUUCAAUUAGAUGCUAGGUUUUGACAAGUCCCCAUGAGAUGUAAUGGCAAAAGAGAAUUGAUAGGCACAAAGUUUCUUCUUGUUAUCAUGCUAUAUAAAAAACAUGUCUCAGUUGUGGUGGUUUGGUUUGGUUUUUGUUGUUUUCCAUUGCAGGAAUGCUAUUGAUUCCUCUUUAUUCAAGCAAUGAUUGCAUAACUUGCAAAGUGAGAUUGGGAUUCUAGCUGAUGGCACCUUGGCUCUGAGACAAGUUCUAAUUCAGGUUCCAGGUAUUGUAUUUGCAAGAGGACCUGCUGUGACUGUGUUGAUACUUCUGGAAUCAGAUGGUGAAACUUAUGCUGUCCUUACUGAACAGGCAAGGGUUCCUACUGGAAGAAUUAUUUUGGAAUUGCCUGCUGGAAUGUUGGAUGAUGACAAGGGUGAUUUCGUUGGCACUGCAGUUCUUGAGGCUUCUCUCUCUCCAAUUCUCUUCAUGGCUUAGUUGUGCCUCUGACAGGUUGAAGAGGAGACUGGCAUAAAGUUCAAACUUGAAGACAUGGUUGAUCUCACUGCUUUCUUGGAUUCUUCAACAGGAUGCAGAUUUUUUCCCUCACCGGCUAGUAUUGGAAUGGAUAACUUGAACGCUUAAUGCACAAAGUGGAGCAGUUUUAGGUUGAUUUUGAUCUUUUACUAAGUAUUUAGGUUGAUGAUCAUCUCUAUUAGUGUAAUUUGAUAUAUCAUGAGCAGUUCUAACUUGUAUUGUUUCUGUAUUUUUCUUCGGUUUUUAGUUUUGAAAUUUGAACUCGAGAUUUAUUUUGUAUUUGAGUAAUAAUUUUUUAAUGUAU